rnacentral:rRNA from 1 species
UCGGGAAUUUUGCGCAAUGGACGAAAGUCUGACGCAGCAACGCCGCGUGAGGGAUGACGGCCUUCGGGUUGUAAACCUCUUUUGUCAGGGACGAUAAUGACGGUACCUGACGAAUAAGCCACGGCUAACUACGUGCCAGCAGCCGCGGUAAUACGUAGGUGGCAAGCGUUGUCCGGAUUUACUGGGCGUAAAGAGCGCGCAGGCGGUCGUUCAAGUCGA